GAACUCUUUGAGAACACAGUUGAGGCUGAAAAGCAUGCCAUCAGCAUAGCUCUUCUGAAUACUGACAAGGUUCCAGAUGAAGCCAUGGAGGGGAGUGGCCAAGGUGGAGAAAAUAUAAACAUGAGGCUUGACGGAGGAUCUGUGGGAGGGUUGCCAUUCCUCAGGAACCCUCUUCUCUGGUAUCUACCUGGUCCUUCCCACUGAUAAACCCAAGGGGAAGUAAGAGUAUGAGAGAGCUCAGUGGUGCAGGACAUAGAAGUCAGCCUGCUGGGGCGCAGAGCAUCACAGAGAAGAGCAGAGAACGGAUCUGCAAGGACAAAUGGAGGAUCAUCAGUA